UUAAGGUGGUGGCCAGCAGAGGGUAAGAGCCAAUCUAUAUGGGCCCUGCCGUCAGAAACCCAAUUCACUGACUCACAUAGAUACAGAGGUAGGAGGUGAUGGGGUUGGAAAGAGGAUUUUGGCCGACGCCCACUCUGAGUAGAAACAGCUGAGCUAGCAGGGAAAAUGUGGCGACCAUUCUGUCAUACGGCGACAACUUUAUGGACAAUAUGUGUCGCGACGCGUGUGAUGGACAUGAUAUACGUAGGACGGUUUGUUGACUCGGGUGGCAGAGUCAGCCGUGGGGGCCCACACCUUGUUACAGUAUGGAGUCAUGCAGAGACUGGCUGGAUGUGUCUUCUUUGACCUUCGACCUGACUUUGGACAGAGAUGAAGCCGGUGUAGAUACAGAGGAGGACUUCCUGCCCAUGCAGCCCCAUGGCCCGCUAUCAUCAACUUCUCUUUGCCGCCCUCAAAUUCUGUCUGGCCAUGCUGACCUCAAUGGCCAUAGAAAACCAGGACUGUGGCAAUCAGGUGAUGCAGUUUAUCUUAUCUCACGGAGAAGUUUUCCACGGAAUUCUACGAGACAGACAGCCAUGGAGUGUAAGUCUCCCUGCUCUACGUGAACUAGCUCUAGCUACAGCGGUUAACUGACUCACGCUAACUCAAGAGGAAUACUAUAAGUCCAGGACCCACUACAGCUUUGUGGAGGCCCUCAUAAGGAGAGUAAGAAGACAAUUGGGGCUCACCACGGGGAUUGAGCUGAUGAGUUUUAAAAACAGAUAUCUGUGGCUACAUAUAGUGAAAUAAUCUGAAUGUUGUCUAUAAAAUUUGAUAUAACCU